UUUACAGGAAAUUAAUAGACACGGUGAUCAGAGCAAUACACCAGUACAAACAUCAAUGUGGAAUUCGUAUACGGGCCCUCCAACUAUUCCACCUUAUGUAACAACGAGCAAUCCACCGCAAAAGUCACAUAUUCAGAGGCAGGCUAGUAGAUAUGGUGAUGUAUUUUUCUCCAGUCAAUCAUCUAGCAACAACUUUGCAGUCAUUAGAGAUGGAAAUGAGGAGUUUGAGUUUACUGGUUGGGGAGAAAAAUAGGCUACUUAUGUUUGUUUUUUGUUUUGACUAGAC